rnacentral:rRNA from 1 species
AUGCACGCUGGCGGCGUGCUUAACCCCUGCACGUCGAACGGAAAGGCCCAAGCUUGCUUGGGUACUCGAGUGGCGAACGGGUGAGUAACACGUGGGUGAUCUGCCCUGCACUUCGGGAUAAGCCUGGGAAACUGGGUCUAAUACCGGAUAGGACGAUGGUUUGGAUGCCAUUGUGGAAAGUUUUUUCGGUGUGGGAUGAGCUCGCGGCCUAUCAGCUUGUUGGUGGGGUAAUGGCCUACCAAGGCGUCGACGGGUAGCCGGCCUGAGAGGGUGUACGGCCACAUUGGGACUGAGAUACGGCCCAGACUCCUACGGGAGGCAGCAGUGGGGAAUAUUGCACAAUGGGCGCAAGCCUGAUGCAGCGACGCCGCGUGGGGGAUGACGGCCUUCGGGUUGUAAACUCCUUUCGCUAGGGACGAAGCGUUUUUGUGACGGUACCUGGAGAAGAAGCACCGGCUAACUACGUG